rnacentral:rRNA from 1 species
CCUACGGGUGGCAGCAGUGGGGAAUAUUGGGCAAUGGGCGCAAGCCUGACCCAGCAACGCCGCGUGAAGGAAGACUGCUUUCGGGUUUUAAACUUCUUUUCUCAGGGACGAAGCAAGUGACGGUACCUGAGGAAUAAGCCACGGCUAACUACGUGCCAGCAGCCGCCGUAAUACGUAGGUGGCCAGCGUUAUCCGGAUUUACUGGGUGUAAAGGGCGUGUAGGCGGGACUGCAAGUCAGAUGUGAAAACCAUGGGCUCAACCUAUGGCCUGCAUUUGAAACUGUAGUUCUUGAGUACUGGAGAGGCAGACGGAAUUCCUAGUGUAGCGGUGAAAUGCGUAGAUAGUAGGAGGAACACCAGUGGCGAAGGCGGUCUGCGGGACAGCAACUGACGCUGAGGCGCGAAAGCGUGGGGAGCAAACAGGAUUAGAUACCCGUGUAGUC